rnacentral:rRNA from 1 species
UACGUAGGGGGCAAACGUUGUCCGGAUUUAUUGGGCGUAAAGAGCGUGUAGGCGGCCAUACAGGUCCGUUGUGAAAACUCGAGGCUCAACCUCGAGACGCCGAUGGAAACCGUAUGGCUAGAGUCCGGAAGAGGAGAGUGGAAUUCCUGGUGUAGCGGUGAAAUGCGCAGAUAUCAGGAAGAACACCCGUGGCUAAGGCGGCUCUCUAGUACGGUACUGACGCUGAGACGCGAAAGCGUGGGGAGCGAACAGG